UUCCCAGAAAGGCCAUCAAGGUACAUCGCCAUCGACGUGCGGUGACGAGCCGCACCCGCAGGCGGCCGACAAGGGCGCCUGGAGCCGGGCGCGCGGCCUGGGCGGCCUGCUCAGUGCCGUGGGUGGCGGCGGCGGCGGCGCAGGUGGCGGGUGCGGGGGCCCCGGCGCGGGCACGCUGCCCUCAGCCAACGCCUACGCCAGCAUCGACUUCCUGUCCCACCGCCUGAAGGAGGCGGCGGCCGUGAAAGAGUGAAGCGCGCAGCAGAGCGGAAGCUGGCGUCUCCCGGGUCGGAAGCAGCUUGUCCUCCGUGUUGGGAUCUGAGCGGUGACCCUGCGAGCCGCCCACACCUCUCGCGCUCCCACGCGGGGCGUUCACCAUCGUGCUGUCCAUGUCCUGUUUGUUGUUGAUUUUUUAAGAAAAAAAAAAAAAAAACACAGAAUUAGCUGAAGGAGCAAUUCUCAAAGACCGUUGGAUGUUCCCAUUGGCUGCAAGACGUCAGGGCCAGUGUCUUAAUCUCCUUCUCACUUUGAUCUUGGCUCAGCAAAGGCGCCCCUCAGCAUGCUGGGAGAUUCUACCGACAGCCAUGGAAGUGGUAAAAUCUGGUGUUUCCUGGCACCCUCUCAAAGCUACCACAGUCCUACCUCAGUUCAAGGCUAAGCCGGAGCGGCGUGGCCGGGGCCGUGGCGGGGCGGCGUGGCCCUGCCUCUGUCCCUGCCUUCACCCGUUCUCUGUUUUCACAAAACAGGAGCUGCAUUUGGGGUGAGCCAGGGCUCCCCAGCCCCUGGCGAUCCCGCCUCCAACACCACCGGCCAGCAUUCGACUCAGAAGAGCCUGGAGCUGCAGACGGGGGCUUUCCAGUUCCAGGGGCCCUGUGACCACCAGGACACGGAGCAGUGCCACUUCCUCUGGCUUGUAAAUCGGUCACCGCAGUGGAGGCCCCAACCCUGCCCUGCUGAUGCUGCCCGUGUGCGGCUCUCAACGCAGUGAACAGACAGGAUGAUGGGUGACGGCGCUGACCCUGAUCAAACCCAACUCUGGGGAACAAACAUGGUGAUCCGUGCAUCAUCUUCCCUGUAUUCGGGGCCAGACGAGCUUCUUGCACAUCUGAGACUAACUGGCAAGAAUCCUUUCCAUCUGUCUUUUCAUCUACGAGAGAGAGAGAGAGAGAGAGAGAGAGAGAGAGAGAGAUAUCUCAUCUGCUGGGUCACUCCCCAAAUGCCUGCAACAGCCACAGCUGGGCCGGGCUGAAGCCAGGAGCCAGGAGCUCCAUCCGGGUUCUUCACGUGGGUGGCAGGGGCCCAAGCACCUGAGCCGUCUUCCCCUGAGUCCGUGGAAGCAUCAGCUGGUAGCUGGCUGUACAGCUGAGUAACUGGGACUCCCACCGGCCCUCCGAGGCGGGAUGCGGCUUAACCCACUGUGCUCCAAGCCCCAGCAGUUCCCAUUUACAGGGAAGAUGGACCACAGCGUCUUGGGCUCAGGAGACUUCUUGGGGGACACAUUUCCCGCCUGAGAAGAGUCAACGUGGCUGUGCUGCACCACGCGGUAUCUCAGUGGCUCGUCAGAGGCAAGGCUCCCCUUGGACCUGAGUGGAUCGAGGUGAACAAGGCGUCCCGUGACAAGGUCCGAGACAGCCGCGCCGGGGCAGGACGAGGCAUCUGUUACCUGUGCCAAGCACAUCACCCUCCCAACCAUCUUGUUUACCAGGGCAGGGGGAACCCAGUACUCCCGACUGGGUGCUGGAUUUAGGGGUGGGUGGAGGGGAAAGGGGGCACCUUGGGAUUGAGUUUUGCCUCUUAAUCAAAGCUCAUCUAAAUCGCGGUUCUGACGGCUCUCAGGUGAAUAAAAUGUUACACCCGGAGGCA
ensembl:lncRNA